GCAUGAAGUCGGAAUUGCUAGUAAUCGCGGAUCAGCAUGCCGCGGUGAAUACGUUCUCGGGCCUUGUACACACCGCCCGUCACACCAUGGGAGUCGGUAACACCCGAAGUCUGUAGCCUGACGCAAGAGGGCGCAGCCGAAGGUGGGAUUGAUGACUGGGGUGAAGUCGUAACAAGGUAUC
rnacentral:rRNA from 1 species